UAUAUAACUGUUCUAUUCACAG
ensembl:miRNA mir-4922.1 miscRNA